rnacentral:lncRNA from 1 species
GCUUAGGUUACAAGAAAGGAUAUGAUUAAGAGAAUUCAACCAAAUUGCCUAUCCUAAGGGAGCAUUCCCAAAUAUUCAACUCUACACAAUUUCCAUUUCUUUGAUCCCUAUUUUUUUUUCUUUUUCCUUUUACAUCCACACAACCAUGAGCAUUUCUUUGCUUUUUUUUUUCUUUUUUUUUUCUUUUUCUUUGCUCUAUGGUUUCAAGGAUGAUUUCUUUUUCUUGUUUCUUUUCAUAUUUUCACCCUUUUAUAAAAACUCACUUUUCCAAGUUUUUAAUCAACUUUUCACUUUACUCUCCCCAACUUUAGAUUCCAAAACCAAAUUUAUUCAAUAAUGCUCCCUACUUAGACAUAAGCAAAAUGCAAAAUUUUCAACAACUCGAUUUA